rnacentral:rRNA from 1 species
GGCCUUUUGAUUUUAAUUUUAGGUCUGACCUGCCCACUGAUAAUUUAAAUGGCCGCGGUAUUUUGACCGUGCAAAGGUAGCAUAAUCAUUAGUUUUUUAAUUAAAAGCUGGAAUGAAUGGUUGGAUGAGAAAUUAGCUGUCUUUAUAUAAAUUUAUUAGAAUUUUAUUUUUAAGUUAAAAAGCUUAAAUUUUUUUAAAAGACGAGAAGACCCUAUAGAGUUUUAUAGUAAGUUUUUUAUAAUUUUUUAGUAUUUUUAUUUUAUUUAAUAUUUAUUUAUUUAAUUGGGGUGAUUAAAAAAUUAAUUUAACUUUUUUUAUAUUUUUACAUUAAUUUAUGAAUAAUUGAUCCGUUAUUUACGAUUAUAAGAUUAAAUUACCUUAGGGAUAACAGCGUAAUUUUUUUUAAGAGUUCAAAUCGAUAGAAAAGAUUGCGACCUCGAUGUUGGAUUAAAAUUAAUUUUUGGUGUAGCAGCUAAAAAUGUUAGGUCUGUUCGACC